AGAGUUUGAUUCUGGCUCAGGACGAACGCUGGCGGCGUGCUUAACACAUGCAAGUCGAACGAUGAAGCCUAGCUUGCUAGGUGGAUUAGUGGCGAACGGGUGAGUAAUACGUGAGUGACCUACCUUUGACUCUGGGAUAAGCCUGGGAAACUGGGUCUAAUACCGGAUACGACCAAUCUCUGCAUGGGGUGUUGGUGGAAAGCGUUAUGGAGUGGUUUUAGAUGGGCUCACGGCCUAUCAGCUUGUUGGUGAGGUAAUGGCUUACCAAGGCGACGACGGGUAGCCGGCCUGAGAGGGUGACCGGCCACACUGGGACUGAGACACGGCCCAGACUCCUACGGGAGGCAGCAGUGGGGAAUAUUGCACAAUGGGCGCAAGCCUGAUGCAGCGACGCCGCGUGAGGGAUGGAGGCCUUCGGGUUGUGAACCUCUUUCGCCAGUGAAGCAGGCCUGCCUCGUUUGUGGGUGGGUUGACGGUAGCUGGAUAAGAAGCGCCGGCUAACUACGUGCCAGCAGCCGCGGUAAUACGUAGGGCGCGAGCGUUGUCCGGAAUUAUUGGGCGUAAAGAGCUCGUAGGCGGCUGGUCGCGUCUGUCGUGAAAUCCUCUGGCUUAACUGGGGGCUUGCGGUGGGUACGGGCCGGCUUGAGUGCGGUAGGGGAGACUGGAACUCCUGGUGUAGCGGUGGAAUGCGCAGAUAUCAGGAAGAACACCGGUGGCGAAGGCGGGUCUCUGGGCCGUUACUGACGCUGAGGAGCGAAAGCGUGGGGAGCGAACAGGAUUAGAUACCCUGGUAGUCCACGCCGUAAACGUUGGGCACUAGGUGUGGGGGGCCUUUUCCGGGUCUUCCGCGCCGUAGCUAACGCAUUAAGUGCCCCGCCUGGGGAGUACGGCCGCAAGGCUAAAACUCAAAGGAAUUGACGGGGGC
rnacentral:rRNA from 1 species